GUGUGCUAAGCGGGGAGUUAGCGGUGCCCUGUACCUGCAACCCGCUCCAGCAGGGCCGAAUCCCCUUUCCCCGGGUUGCGGCUGUGAGGCUGCGUUGCGCAAGGAGUGUUGAACGCCGGGUCCUACGCAAUGUCGGUUUGUGAACCAGGUCAGGUCCGAAAGGAAGCAGCCUUAAACAAUCCCCGGCAUGUGCCGUGGGAGCGCCUGGCAGGAGCCACCUACGCAAUGGCGCUCGGAACCGUAUUCCCAAAGAAAGGGUGCACAC
rnacentral:SRP_RNA from 1 species